AAUGAACGCUGGCGGCAUGCCUUACACAUGCAAGUCGAACGGCAGCGCGGGCUUCGGCCUCGCGGCGAGUGGCGAACGGGGGGGUAAUGCACCUGAACGUGCCCUAACUUCGGGGAUAGCCCGCCGAAAGCCGGCUUAAUACUCCAUCCGACCAUAUAUUGAAAGUGGGGGACCGAGAGUCCUCUCGCCUUUUGAGCAGGCUAAGUCGCAAUAGCUAGUUGGUUGGGUAAAGGCUUAACAAGGCGACUAGCCGUAGCUGGUCUGAGAGGACGACCAGCCACACUGGGAGUGAGAAACGGCCCAGACUCCUACGGGAGGCAGCAGUGGGGAAUUUUGCGCAAUGGGGGAAAGCCUGAUACAGCAAUGCCGCGUGAGGGAAGAAGGCGUUCGGGUUGUAAAGCGCUGUUGUUCGGGAAGAAAUAAUCUGGGCUUAUACCGGGGGGGGAUGACGGUACCGGAAGAAUAAGCACCGGCUAACUACGUG
rnacentral:rRNA from 1 species